rnacentral:rRNA from 1 species
UACGUAGGGUGCAAGCGUUGUCCGGAAUUAUUGGGCGUAAAGAGCUCGUAGGCGGUUUGUCGCGUCUGCUGUGAAAUCCGGAGGCUCAACCUCCGGCCUGCAGUGGGUACGGGCAGACUAGAGUGCGGUAGGGGAGAUUGGAAUUCCUGGUGUAGCGGUGGAAUGCGCAGAUAUCAGGAGGAACACCGGUGGCGAAGGCGGGUCUCUGGGCAGUAACUGACGCUGAGGAGCGAAAGCGUGGGGAGCGAACAGG